AGGUGAAAAUGAUGAAAACCAUAAACAAAGAGAAACGGUGAUAAUCAAGCAUUAUGUGUUUGAUAUGAUCCAAUUUCUAUCGCUACGUUCUUUCUGACUCACCA
rfam:Glycine max cultivar Williams 82 chromosome 12, whole genome shotgun sequence.